GAAAUGCGAUAAGUAAUGUGAAUUGCAGAAUUCAGUGAAUCAUCGAAUCUUUGAACGCACAUUGCGCCCGCCAGUAUUCUGGCGGGCAUGCCUGUUCGAGCGUCAUUUCAACCAUCAAGCCCCGGCGCUUGUGUUGGGGACCCGCGGCUGCCGCGGGCCCUUAAAGACAGUGGCGGUCUCGCUGCAGCACCGAGCGUAGUAACAUACACAUCUCGCUCCGGGAGCUGCGCGUGCAACCCGCCGUGAAACCCCCCACCUCUCACAAGGUUGACCUCGGAUCAGGUAGGAAUACCCGCUGAACUUAA
rnacentral:misc_RNA from 1 species